AAUCCAGAUUUUUGGGGUGCAGCAGAAUACCGACUACAUUGGUUAAGAUUCUGCCUAAACCUAAUACCGAAUCCCCCUCCCAUCCUCAGUCCAUUACCACAGUAAACACAUUGAUGAAGGUAACGUACCUGA